rnacentral:rRNA from 1 species
AGUGAACGCUGGCGGUAGGCCUAACACAUGCAAGUCGAACGGCAGCACAGUAAGAUUUUGCCUCUACGGGUGGCGAGUGGCGGACGGGUGACGAAUACAUCGCAUUCUACUUUUUCUUGGGGGACAACGUAGGGCCACUUACGCUAACACCUCAUAUGUUCUACGGCUGAAUGCAGUGGAUCUUCGCAGCUUUCGUGAUUGUAUUAGCCGAUGUCGGAUUAGCUAGUUGGCGUGGUAAGGGCCCACCAAGGCGACGAUCCGUAGCUGGGCUGAGAGGAUGAUCAGCCACACUGGAACUGAGACACGGUCCAGACUCCUACGGGAGGCAGCAGUGGGGAAUAUUGGACAAUGGGCGCAAGCCUGAUCCAGCAAUGCCGCGUGAGUGAAGAAGGCCUUCGGGUUGUAAAGCCCUUUUAUUGGGAAAGAAAAGCAGCAGGAUAAUACCCCGAUGUUCUGACGGUACCCAAUGAAUAAGCACCGGCUAACUUCGUG